UUAUCGGAGAGUUUGAUCCUGGCUCAGGACGAACGCUGGCGGCGUGCCUAAUACAUGCAAGUCGAGCGGACAGAUGGGAGCUUGCUCCCUGAUGUUAGCGGCGGACGGGUGAGUAACACGUGGGUAACCUGCCUGUAAGACUGGGAUAACUCCGGGAAACCGGGGCUAAUACCGGAUGGUUGUUUGAACCGCAUGGUUCAAACAUAAAAGGUGGCUUCGGCUACCACUUACAGAUGGACCCGCGGCGCAUUAGCUAGUUGGUGAGGUAACGGCUCACCAAGGCAACGAUGCGUAGCCGACCUGAGAGGGUGAUCGGCCACACUGGGGCUGAGACACGGCCCAGACUCCUACGGGAG
rnacentral:rRNA from 1 species